GAUGAACGCUGGCGGCGUGCCUAAUACAUGCAAGUCGAGCGAACAGACGAGGAGCUUGCUCCUCUGACGUUAGCGGCGGACGGGUGAGUAACACGUGGAUAACCUACCUAUAAGACUGGGAUAACUUCGGGAAACCGGAGCUAAUACCGGAUAAUAUAUUGAACCGCAUGGUUCAAUAGUGAAAGACGGUUUUGCUGUCACUUAUAGAUGGAUCCGCGCCGCAUUAGCUAGUUGGUAAGGUAACGGCUUACCCAGGCAACUAUGCGUAGCCGACCUGAGAGGGUGAUCGGCCACACGGGAACUGAGAAACGGCCCAGACUCCUACGGGAGGCAGCAGUAGGGAAUCUUCCGCAAUGGGCGAAAGCCUGACGGAGCAACGCCGCGUGAGUGAUGAAGGUCUUCGGAUCGUAAAACUCUGUUAUUAGGGAAGAACAAAUGUGUAAGUAACUAUGCACGUCUUGACGGUACCUAAUCAAAAAGCCACGGCUAACUACGUG
rnacentral:rRNA from 1 species